GUAACACGUGGAUGAUCUACCUUUUAGUGAGGAAUAACCAUGGGAAACCGUGGCUAAUACCGCAUAAGCUCGAGAGAGGAAAGUCGCAAGACGCUGAAAGAGGAGUCCGCGGCGAUUAGCUAGUUGGCAGGGUAAAAGCCUACCAAGGCGAAGAUCGGUAGCCGGCCUGAGAGGGCACACGGCACACUGGCACUGAAACACGGGCCAGACUCCUACGGGAGGCAGCAGUGGGGAAUCUUGCACAAUGGGGGAAACCCUGAUGCAGCGACGCCGCGUGAGCGAUGAAGCCCUUCGGGGUGUAAAGCUCUUUCGGCAGGGAAGAUAGUGACGGUACCUGCAGAAGCAGCUGCGGCUAACUACGUGCCAGCAGCCGCGGUAAUACGUAGGCAGCGAGCGUUGUUCGGAGUUACUGGGCGUAAAGGGUGUGUAGGCGGUCGUUUAAGUUUGGUGUGAAAUCUCCCGGCUCAACUGGGAGGGUGCGCCGAAUACUGAAUGACUUCGAGUGCGGGAGAGGAAA
rnacentral:rRNA from 1 species